rnacentral:rRNA from 1 species
GAGUUUGAUCCUGGCUCAGAAUCAACGCUGGCGGCGUGCCUCAGACAUGCAAGUCGAACGCGAAAGUCCCCUUCGGGGGACAAGUAGAGUGGCGCACGGGUGAGUAACACGUAGGUAAUCUACCUUCGGGUGGGGAAUAACAAUCGGAAACGGUUGCUAAUACCGCAUAAUGCAGCGGCACCUAAUGGUGACAGUUGUUAAAGCGGGGGAUCGAAAGAUCUCGCGCCUGAAGAGGAGCCUGCGGCGGAUUAGCCAGUUGGUAGGGUAAUGGCCUACCAAGGCGACGAUCCGUAGCCGGCCUGAGAGGGCGGUCGGCCACACUGACACUGACAUACGGGUCAGACUCCUACGGGAGGCAGCAGUCGGGAAUUUUGGGCAAUGGGCGAAAGCCUGACCCAGCAACGCCGCGUGAAGGAUGAAAUCCCUCGGGAUGUAAACUUCGCAAGAACGGGAAGAAUUAGUGGAAGUUAAUACCUUCCAUGAUGACGGUACCGUUUGUAAGCUCCGGCUAACUCCGUGCCAGCCGCCGCGUAAUAC